rfam:Sarcophilus harrisii ctg7180002484552, whole genome shotgun sequence.
CUCCAGAUAUGGAGACAUGGUGCCCAAGACCAUCGCAGGGAAGAUCUUCGGUUCCAUCUGCUCUCUGAGUGGCGUCUUGGUCAUCGCCUUGCCCGUUCCUGUCAUUGUCUCCAAC